UACGUAGGAUCCGAGCGUUGUCCGGCAUUACUGGGUGUAAAGGGUGCGUAGGCGGACAUGUGCGUCAGAGGUGAAAUCCACGGGCUUAACCCGUGGGGUGCCUUUGAUACGGCAAGUCUUGAGUGCGAGAGAGGUGGGUGGAAUUCCUGGUGUAGCAGUGAAAUGCGUAGAUAUCAGGAGGAACACCGAUGGCGAAGGCAGCCCACCGGCUCGCAACUGACGCUGAGGCACGAAAGCGUGGGGAUCAAACAGG
rnacentral:rRNA from 1 species